rnacentral:rRNA from 1 species
GACGGAGGGUGCUAGCGUUGUUCGGAAUUACUGGGCGUAAAGGGCUCGUAGGCGGCCAACUAAGUCGGACGUGAAAUCCCCAGGCUCAACCUGGGAACUGCGUCCGAUACUGGAUGGCUUGAAUCCGGGAGAGGGAUGCAGAAUUCCAGGUGUAGCGGUGAAAUGCGUAGAUAUCUGGAGGAACACCUAUGGCGAAGGCAGCUCGCUGGGACGGUACUGACGCUGAGGCGCGAAAGCGUGGGGAGCGAACAGG